CUUUGAUUUCGGCUUGAGUGAACCGUUCUUGUUUGCCUUGGCGAUUUUCUGGGCGACUUUCGAAUGGAAUUGGGUCAGCGAAAACGCGAUGAGCAAACACUUGGACAAGGACCUCUAUACCACACACCUGAUGAUUAAACGUUUGCUGUCUGCUUACAGGUACAAUUGCGGUCAGCAUAAUAGCAAUAGUAACAUAUAGUGUUAUGUGGCAACUAAAAUUUGUCUAAGACACUUAAGUGUGUUUAGGAUGAUUUUUAUGAAAUAAAUAUUUGAUAUGUACCACCAUCUUUAA